rnacentral:rRNA from 1 species
ACACAUGCAGUCGAGCGGAUGAGGGAGCUUGCUCCCGGNNAUUUAGCGGCGGACGGGUGAGUAAUGCCUAGGAAUCUGCCUGGUAGUGGGGGACAACGACUCGAAAGGGUCGCUAAUACCGCAUACGUCCUACGGAGAAAGUGGGGGAUCUUCGGACCUCACGCUAUCAGAUGAGCCUAGGUCGGAUUAGCUAGUAGGUGAGGUAAUGGCUCACCUAGGCAACGAUCCGUAACUGGUCUGAGAGGAUGAUCAGUCACACUGGAACUGAGACACGNUCCAGACUCCUACGGGAGGCAGCAGUGGGGAAUAUUGGACAAUGGGCGA